AGUUUGCUCAACCGGAGGGGGAUGACAAGACUCUGUGUGUUGAUGAGUGGCCGUUUCUUCAAACAGAGUUUUGUGAGAAGGUGAACCAGCCAACUGCUCGGGUUGUCUCUGGACAGAGAAAACAAGAGGAGCCAACACCUUGGGGGCCAAAAGUUGUGAUGGCCCAGGCUGAUAAACCAACAGCCAAUGAGACCAGCUUCUUGGGAUGUUCAACCAAGAUGACACACAUUGAGGACCAUGAGCCGUUUGAACCAGCACCUGAGGUCACUGCGAGCAGUCAGCAGCAGAGCCCGCCUGAGGACAAUGGCCAGCUUGAAGAUCCUCAUGCAACACUUGGCAAUCAGAAGGUACUUAUUUUUAACAUGUUAAUCCCUGUUCCUUGUGAGUUUUCCUGCCAUUUAUUAGAUCUUGGAAAUUAGGUAAAGUAAUGUUAAUAUCAUGUACAAUUCCGUUUUCCCAUUAUACACAGCCAUGAACUACAGCUGAUUGAUUCCUAGCCUUU